UGUCCACGUACCAGGACCUUCCUCCAAAAGCUCCUUUCUCAUCUAUCUCCUCUCUUUCCCUCUCAGCCAUAGGAGCAGAAUAGUGAAGAGAAGCUUAUAGAGCUGAGUUUUUCUUGCUGUUUGAGCUAAGAAGAAACCCUGUAGAGCUGAAAGGAAGGCUUGUGGAGCUGAAGAAACCCUUGGGGAAGUUUCAAAUCCAGACUUGGAUUUCGGGCUGAUUGGGGCUGCCGAGGUGAAGACUCAGUUGAGGAAGCUUGGAGCUUGAGGAAAUUCAAAUAGAAGCUGAGAACAAAUAGGAAUUGUGAAGCUAUUGCCUGGAUGGAUUUAUGGGCGCCCGAAAUUGAAAGGGGAGUUAAGGGAGCUUCGAAUCAGGGGCUGUGAAGGAGAAAUUGAAGUGCAGUUUGGUAAUUGAGCGGAAAAAAGAGAAGUGCUGAAGUUGCUGCCUUGUUGGAACUUCUUUGGUGUUCCGAGCUGAAAGAGAACCUAGUGGAGUUUUGAACUCAGGAAAAGUGGACGCGCUCGGAAGUUCAAAUUGACAUUCUAAUGGAUCUACGACGCGCUAAUUACGAUAGACGUCGUUCUAGCUUUAUUCGCAUCGAGUCACGAGGACUUAAUACUUGUGAGCUCCGAGAUAUUGGUUUUAUCGUUUCGGCAUCCCUACAGCAGUUAUCAACUGGAUCAGGAGCUAGCUUCUUCCCCAGUAGACGAUCCCGUCGGGAUGUAGCUUACGUCUCCCCGAUACUUGGGAUUUAGUUGAAUAAACCUAAUGGGUGAGUCGGCGAAGUGGGCAGCCGAACCCACUAGAAACUUUCAGUAGUUCUCACCCCACUAAUCAUGCAAGUUCUAGCUCGUGCGGGGUGAUCGAGGAUCGUGGUAUGGACAGCGUUCCAUAGAUAAUGGACAUCCAUUGAGUAUAGUUGUACCUUAUUAAUUUCAUCUGUUUAUAGUUGAUGAAAGUAAAUGUAAAUUAUUCAUUUGAAAGAUGGCAAUGUAUAUAUUGGAAGAAUGAAUGUAAUAAUUAUGUAAGCUUUGUAUUUGAUUUAAAGUAAUCAAGAUACAAUAUAUGAAUGCUUUAGUUAGUUUACUUACACUUGCUUGUGUUGCUUGCCCUCGUGCAAGCCAUGUAUGUUGAAAUUUUUUUUGGGCAUUUCUUUAUACAUGUUUGUUGUUGUUGUUGAGCCUUGGACGAACAGAGGAGGUUCUGUUCGUUCGGCGUCUGUGUACGGGCACGAACCGACCAAAUCGGCAGUCUCAGGGCGUGACAGUUGGCUACAGUAUUAGUGACUAGUUGACACAUCUGGAGAGUGUCGGACUGAGUCAGAGUCGUACACCGCGGGCGAAAGAACCGAUGAGGAACAUUUGUGCAGCCUAGAGGUUUCGGACGCCCAGAACAUGGUUUCGGACGCACGAAAUGUGCGUUUCUGUAGGGGCAGCAGGUUUGCAGUGUUUGUUCUUGGGGCUUAUCUUAUCCUCUCACCUCACUAUAAAUAGAUGGUAUUCGACUCUUGAGAAGCCUUUUCUUCCCUUCUUCACAGAGGAGCUAUAUUUUGCAUCUUAGCCCCUCAAAUCACUCCAAAUUUCACAAUUUGCAUGCUUUCCACUUCAAAGACUGCAGUUUCAACAGAAUUUCAGCAGCGACUUGCGGCGUUUUGGCUCGUGUGCGACAUAGAAGGGUCAGAUUGCUGUGAAACUUGGUUUGGUGGUUAGUUGACUUCUUGGAGAAUUCGUGGAGCAAAUUUGAUAGAAAUUGAUUGAAGUUUGUAUAAUCAAUUUCGUGUUCUUCUGAGAUGCUGGUAUUUGCGGGCUGAAGCUGAGUUUUAUUGGUUUUCUUGGAUUAAACCCGGGAGAAAGCUGGAUUUCGGACCUGAAGACAGUACUCCAUCAUACUUCACUACUGUUGGGACCUUUCUUCACCUGAAUUGAGCUUUGGAAGACCCAUAGAGAGGUUGUUGCUGGUUGGUUGCUGGUCUAGGGGUGGUUUCGGCUGUGUUUCUCAGUGGCUUCGCGACUUCUAGCUGUGUCGGACAUUACGCUAGAGAGCCUUCUUCUUCGGCUGCUGUUGCUGCUGCUGUUUCAGAUCGUGGAAAGGGAGUCGCGAGUUAGAUCCCUUCCCAGUUGCUGCUGAUCUAGAGUAUACCAGCUACAUGUAGUUAUAGUUUUUGGGUUAUUAUACAUACUGAUGUUGUAUCUCGCUGUAGCGAGCGUUUUGUAUACUUGGAUACGUAUGUAUGAUGAACCUCUGUUAUUAUAUAUGCUUUUCUCUUUAGUAGCUCUAUACUACUGGUUGGGGUGUUGUAUGAAUCACUACAAGAAAGAUAGACUUCUAUGGAGAAUUAUUUGUGGCCAAUUUGAUUAUCCCACAAUAUGCUUACUUUUUGUGGAGAAUUUUAAUUUUUUUCACUAAUGAUCUUCACAUAAAUUUUAAAGUACAGAUUGCAGGGAUUUUUCCAUUGCCGCCACAAAAUUGCUAUACUUUUGUGGCCACCUAUAAUAUUUGGUCACAAAAAAUGAAGUGAGUAUUGUGGCGAAUGAUUGGGCCAGAAAUUUUAUACUAUUUUGUGGCCAUUUACAAUAUAUGGCCACAAAAAAAAAAACCACCAAUUUUUUUUUGUUGCGCGCCAACCCACACUCUGAUUAGACCUCCCUCACCUACCCUGUUUCUCUCUCUCUCUCUCCUUUUCUCCAUGGAUCCUUCAUCUUUUCCUUCCGCUUCCUAACCCCGGCACAGCAAGGCCCGUCUCCACCUCGCCAGUUGCGCGCGCCGCGUGGAUCCGCGUGGCUGUGCACUACCCCACAACUACAUCCGCUCCUCCGACUACCCCACAACUACAUCCGCUCCUCCCCGUUGCGCGCGCCGUGUGGAUCUGCGAGGCUGUGGACUACACCCUCGCGCCGCGUCAUCUACGAUUGCGCGUGCAACCAACUUCGAUCUGUUGCUCGUUUGCACGCGUAACCAAGCUUUGUUUGCUCAAGGGUCUUUAUAUAGAAUCGGCAGCUUCUUCUCCGCAUUUUGUGAAUCUGCUACUUCUUCUUCUUCAUCGCCUUCGCCCUCGAUCGGGUUAG